rnacentral:lncRNA from 1 species
GAUGUACAUUCACCCGGACAGCCCCGCUACUGGGGAACAGUGGAUGUCCAAAGUCGUCACUUUCCACAAACUGAAACUCACCAACAACAUUUCAGACAAACAUGGAUUACUAUAUUGAACUCCAUGCACAAAUACCAGCCCCGGUUCCACAUUGUAAGAGCCAAUGACAUCUUGAAACUCCCUUAUAGUACAUUUCGGACAUACUUGUUCCCCGAAACUGAAUUCAUCGCUGUGACUGCAUACCAGAAUGAUAAAUAACCCAGUUAAAAAUAGACAACAACCCUUUUGCAAAAGGUUUCCGGGACACUGGAAAUGGCCGAAGAGAAAAAA